CAUAACGUAAUUUCCGAUAUGAAUAGAAAUUGCGCAUGAAGAUUUCACAAUAAUAUGUAAUGGACGCUAUAAAAUGACAUUUCUUUGAUCACAAUUUUAUUAAAGUAAUAGAAAUAGGUUAACACUCUAUUGUUCUCUAUUCUUAUUAUUGUUCUAUUAAAACUAAUCGGGAUAUGAUUUAAAUUACAUGAUGAUAUGGCUUAUCUGCACUAUCGUUUUGAAAAGCUAUGCCAGUGGCAGCAAAGACGCGACAUAUGCUGGUAAACAAUGCGGAGUUCGCUAUACAAGAUCAGUCGAACACAAAAGUUACAUGUUUCCCGAAACCGCCUAUCCAAUGACAAUUUUAGACGCCAAACCAUAUUAUUUCCUAACCGAAGCACAGGACAGUAUUCUGAGCCCAUUUGAGAAGGAUGUCCAGGAGUCAUUUAAGCGACUUGAGACCAGAAAAGAAGUUCAAUCUAAUUUGGAUCUUACAGGUACUUCUAAACAGGAAAAAGUCAAUAUAUCUUAUGAAUAUGUUAUAUGUAAUAUAUCUCAAACCCAAGAUUCUGUAAAUAAUACAUCAGCUACAAUAGAAGAAUCUUUCAGUGAAACAGAUAUUAAUGAAAUUAUUGAUACAAUGAACAUAUUAGAUACUAUUGAAGAAAAUGAUUUCAUAAAUGAAUUGCAAAUGGAUCACGUAGACAGCAAUGAAUCUGUGUUAGUUGAUAUGUCGUCUGAAGUAGCAAAAUCAUGGAUUAUAGACGAGACAGAUAUAUUGAAUAAUUUGAUAAAGACAAACACAGAUAACGAAUAUAGUUUCACAACCGAUUACGAGAAAACUACAAUAUUACCAAUGUUAUAAUCUAUGUAACUAUUUAUUUACAUUUGAUCCCUUUGGAGCUGAGAACUUGGGAUUUAAGUGCACAGUUAAUUGAAGGCCACUGGGACCAAAUUAAAUAUGUUUAAAUUUUUUUAUACUUUUUUCAUUAUGACUAUGUAUGAAUAUUGUGUACUAUAGUGAAAUAAAUAUUUUUUUAUAUUUUA